GGAGGGUGCGAGCGUUGUUCGGAAUCAUUGGGCGUAAAGCGCGUGUAGGCGGCUUGGUAAGUCGGGUGUGAAAGCCCGGGGCUCAACCCCGGAAUUGCACUCGAAACUGCCUCGCUAGAGUCCCGGAGAGGAGAGCGGAAUUCCCGGUGUAGAGGUGAAAUUCGUUGAUAUCGGGAGGAACACCAGCGGCGAAGGCGGCUCUCUGGACGGUGACUGACGCUGAGACGCGAAAGCGUGGGGAGCAAACAGGAUUAGAUAUCCUGGUAGUCCACGCCGUAAACUUUGGGUGCUAGGUGUCGCGGGUAUUGACCCCCCUGCGGUGCCGCAGCUAACGCAUUAAGCACCCCGCCUGGGGGAGUACGGUCGCAAGGCUA
rnacentral:rRNA from 1 species